GGGGAUCAAGAACGGGCUGUCAGUACCGUUGAAAUCCAAUAAGUUGCACGUCGUUGCUGCCCUGUCACGGCAGAGGCCGCGGGUUCGAGUCCCGUCGUCCCCGCCA
rnacentral:tRNA from 1 species